ACGGCGGUGGUGUAGCAAGUGUGUGCGCUGAAGUCAGGAGGUUUGGGGUUUGUCUCCACACUCUCGCUUCAGUUGCGGCCCUCCCGCAGAUGAGCAGCCCGAGGCUCAGACAAGCCCCAGCCAAGGUGAAAGAGCCGAAAGGCGAAGGCUCCGGGUCUCCCCGCUGACCCGGUCGUGCCCGCUGCUGCUUCACCGCUUCACACAGCGCUGGUUACGUGCGGUUCUGCCAUACCUUUCGCGUGUUUUUGUGGUGUUGGUCCUGCUUUCUCUUCCACGUAGCGCUCCUUUUUUUUUUUUUCUUUUUUUUAUGAGACAGAGUCUCACUUUGUCACCCUCCGUAGAAUGCUGUGGCAUCACAGCUUACAGCAACCUCCAACUCUUGAGCUCAAGGGAUCCUCUUUCCUCAGCCUCCCAAGUAGCUGGGACACAGGGUGCAGCGCCAGCUGCUGUGAGGACAGCCAGCCGUCCCUGCAGCAGGUGCACCAGUGCAUCGAGCACUGCCUUAGGCCUCUGGCUCAAGCUCAGGGUCUGGUGACCCACUAGUUGGAAAAGUUCCAGUGAAAUUAAAGGGCGGCAGACAUGUCCAAAGAAUAUUGUAGGGAUUUGGUCCCUUUAUGAAUCUUGUGAUGGAUGAAUGUGUGGAGACGGCAACUAGUGAACAACAGAACAAUAUUGGAAUGGU